rnacentral:misc_RNA from 1 species
CCAGGGUACACAGCUGAAUUUAUGUUCACCUCAGGUUGCUUUGGAGGUGGUUUUUGAACAGUUGAGAAACGAGUGCUGAUAAAUGAAGAGAUUAUUCCAGAUUUCUGGCCCAUGGCAGGGGAACCAUCCCAGUCAAUCUUUCUUAGAGUUGCUGCACCAAUAACUUUCGAAAAAUGUAGCCGUAAAAAUAAAACUUUUUUAAACCCAGAAUCCCCAACUUCAAAAUGAGCUCCUGUGACAAUUGCAAGAUCCUCUUCACUCUCAACAGGGGCUGUACAAAUAUGCGAGAAACUCUUCCACUGAACCUUCUCAUAGUACCUGCGUUCAGAGGAG